rnacentral:rRNA from 1 species
GACGAACGCUGGCGGCGUGCUUAACACAUGCAAGUCGAACGCUGAAGCUCAGCUUUUGUUGGGUGGAUGAGUGGCGAACGGGUGAGUAACACGUGAGUAACCUGCCUCCUUCUUUGGGAUAACGCCCGGAAACGGGUGCUAAUACUGGAUAUUCACUGGUCUUCGCAUGGGGGUUGGUGGAAAGGGUUUUUCUGGUGGGGGAUGGGCUCGCGGCCUAUCAGCUUGUUGGUGGGGUGAUGGCCUACCAAGGCUUUGACGGGUAGCCGGCCUGAGAGGGUGACCGGUCACAUUGGGACUGAGAUACGGCCCAGACUCCUACGGGAGGCAGCAGUGGGGAAUAUUGCACAAUGGGCGCAAGCCUGAUGCAGCGACGCCGCGUGAGGGAUGGAGGCCUUCGGGUUGUGAAGCUCUGUCGCUCAUGGUCAAGCCGCAACAAUGGUUGUGGUGAGGGUAGUGGGUAAAGAAGCGCCGGCUAACUACGUG